rnacentral:rRNA from 1 species
GAUGAACGCUGGCGGCGUGCCUAAUACAUGCAAGUCGAGCGAACAGACGAGGAGCUUGCUCCUCUGACGUUAGCGGCGGACGGGUGAGUAACACGUGGAUAACCUACCUAUAAGACUGGGAUAACUUCGGGAAACCGGAGCUAAUACCGGAUAAUAUAUUUAACCGCAUGGUUCAAUAGUGAAAGACGGUUUUGCUGUCACUUAUAGAUGGAUCCGCGCCGCAUUAGCUAGUUGGUAAGGUAACGGCUUACCAAGGCAACGAUGCGUAGCCGACCUGAGAGGGUGAUCGGCCACACUGGAACUGAGACACGGUCCAGACUCCUACGGGAGGCAGCAGUAGGGAAUCUUCCGCAAUGGGCGAAAGCCUGACGGAGCAAUGCCGCGUGAGUGAUGAAGGUCUUCGGAUCGUAAAACUCUGUUAUUAGGGAAGAACAAAUGUGUAAGUAACUAUGCACGUCUUGACGGUACCUAAUCAGAAAGCCACGGCUAACUACGUG